rnacentral:sRNA from 1 species
GCCAGGUGUGGUGGUGCACAUCUGUAAUCUCAGCAGCUUGGGAGGCUGAGGCAGGAGGAUUGCAAGUUCAAAGCCAGCCUCAGCAAUGGUGAAGCGUUAAGCAACUCAGUGAGACCCUGUCUCUA